CCGACGCUUCACAUGGAACUCCAGAACCCAAGAUAUAUGUCCAGAACACUCAAAAAAUCUUCAGUUCUUGAUCGACAAACACCGAGAGAGACAGCAUUAUUAUGGCAAGCUUUUCAUUCAUCUUCCCCGAAGACAGACGUUGUUCCAUUAAGGACAACGAAGUCAAUUCAGGUAAGAACAAUAACGUUAAUUUCCGUCUUUAAAUAAAAAUAUCAAUUGAAGGUGUAGUUCCUACUGGAAAGGAAAUAAAAACAACUUAGAAGAUACGGCAUUCGGGGUUUGUUGUUAGUUACCAAACAAUGUAACCAUGCGAAAUGAGGUUUUCCAGCUGACAAUUGGUUAUUUUGCCAAUGAAAAUAAAUUAUGUCCCAAUUAUCUCUCCUUCCACCCAAAAUGUGCACUUGUUCACCUCCCUUUACUGAUUUGAAAGGAAAUGACUGGUAUAUUAAAUAUGGCUAAAACUCUACCUAGCCCCUACUAGCCAAUGUUUUUAGAUUUGUGAGAAGUGGUGAAUGGCUGCACACUUCAGCAAAAAUUAGAUGGUAUUGGGAUGCAUGAAGAAAAUUAAGAAUUAAAUUUAAAAUAUCCCUUGCUUGUAAUGCUGAAAUCAGUUUAGUUAACCCUGUGUUGGUGUUUCUUUCAGGGUGGAUGUCAACGGUAACCAAACUCAACACCCAUGGCGGUCCAGAGUCAGAGAGUCAGAACAUCCAUCAGUGCGUUGCAGAUGUACUUGGUAACAAGUACCACUACGCGAAUGCCAUUGACAGCUCUCUGCUCUGGACCGUUGGGUACACCCCCUACAUUCCCCCAGCUCUGAAAGGAAGAAGCUUCCCCUCUGUCGAGAGCUUCUUCCUGGAUGAGUGGGAGCCACUGACACUCCUGCAGACUCCUCAGGUUCUGUCCACCAGUGUUUCCAUCAAGGAAGACAACCUGAUCCAGUCUGCUGCAGGCCUAGUGUCUCUGGUUCUGUCAUCCAGUGUUGCCAUCAUGGAGAAUGACCUGAUCCAGUCUGCUGCAGGCCUAGUGUCUCAGAUUCUGUCCACCAGUGUUGCCAUCGUGGAGAAUGACCUGAUCCAGUCUGCUGCAGGCCUAGUGUCUCAGAUUCUGUCCACCAGUGUUGCCAUCGUGGAUAAUGACCUGAUCCAGUCUGCUGCAGGCCUAGUGUCUCUGGUUCUGUCCAGCAGUGACGCUAGAGUGAAGGAUCGUAUUGAUUCCACACUGAGAGACUCCAACCAACCUGAGGUCCAUGUGGCUGAUGUCUCAACCGAGAGAAGUAGACUAGUCAUCACUAUUUCUAUGUUUUCAAUAGAGAGUUGCAAUGCUUUGGUCCAUGAAGUUGAUGCUAUUGCUACCAGCCUGGAGCACCCGGCUGAGAAAAUGUCUACCUCUACCGCUGAUGGCCACUUCGUUUCAUCCACUGCUGUUGCCAAUCAGAAGAAAACAAGGGGUGAAUUCGUCUCAUCUUUACGGAGACUGUUCACGAGAAA
ensembl:lncRNA